CGAUCGGAGCUCAUGACGACCUGCUUACUAUUGUGAAAAAACGAAAGCUUAAAACCUUUGGCCACAUUACAAGAUCUACGGGGCUCGCAAAGACCUUUCUUCAGGGAACAGUGCCAGGGAAAAGAAGAAGAGGCAGACAGAAAAAGCGAUGGGAGGACAACAUUAAAGAAUGGACAGGCCUGCCAUUGAGAGAGGUUCUGAACAAGGCAAAAAAAAGGGAGGAAUGGAGAAAGACGGUCGACAAAUCUUGCCUGGUGCCCCAACGGUCCAACAGACUAAGGGAUAGGUAAAGGUAAAAGAAUACCCAGUCAUCACAGUGCACAAUGGUCUCAGCGACUAUUCACAAGAGGUACACCAUUAGUAAAAUCACUCAAGUGAGUGACACUUCAGGACAGAGGCCUAAAAGGCGAAAAAAUUUUGAAUUAAAUUCAUUGUAAUUAAAACUGACAAGAAUUGGGAGAAUAUGUCACGGGUCAUGACCUUUCAAUUCAAGAAAACACAGAUCAUCAUCAUUAAGGCCAUUUAAGUGAGGGCUUGAGAGGUUCAAAUCCUCCCUCUUAAAAGCACAGACAUGACAUGGUCGCUCUCAACUUGGAGACUAAAAACUUCAGGAGAGAGUGAUGACACGUGACCACCUGGAGUGCAACACUCAAGAAGCUUUGCGGACGAUUUGAGUUGACUGAUGUGGUGUUCAUGAAAUGUGUAUGAUUUAUAGGGCCUACUACCCACUGUAUGUGAUGUUCUACCCACUGUAUGUGAUGUUCUACCCACUGUAUGUGAUGUUCUACCCACUGUAUGUGAUGUUCUACCCACUGUAUGUGAUCUACUACCCACUGUAUGUGAUGUUCUACCCACUGUAUGUGAUCUACUACCCACUGUAUGUGAUCUACUACCCACUGUAUGUGAUCUACUACCCACUGUAUGUGAUCUGCUACCCGCUUUAUGUGAUCUGCUACCCGCUGUAUGUGAUCUGCUACCCGCUGUAUGUGAUCUGCUACCCGCUUUAUGUGAUCUGCUACCCACUGUAUGUGAUCUGCUACCCGCUUUAUGUGAUCUGCUACCCACUGUAUGUGAUCUGCUACCCGCUGUAUGUGAUGUGCUACCCACUGUAUGUGAUGUGCUACCCACUGUAUGUGAUCUACUACCCACUGUAUGUGAUCUGCUACCCGCUUUAUGUGAUCUGCUAUCCACUGUAUGUGAUCUGCUACCCACUGUAUGUGAUCUGGUACCCGCUUUAUGUGAUCUGCUACCCACUGUAUGUGAUCUGCUACCCACUGUAUGUGAUGUGCUACCCACUGUAUGUGAUGUGCUACCCGCUGUAUGUGAUGUGCUACCCGCUGUAUGUGAUCUGCUACCCACUGUAUGUGAUGUGCUACCCACUGUUUGUGAUGUGCUACCCACUGUAUGUGAUCUACUACCCACUGCAUGUGAUCUGCUACCCGCUGCAUGUGAUCUGCUACCGCUGUAUGUGAUGUGCUACCCACUGUAUGUGAUGUGCUACCCGCUGUAUUUGAUAUGCUACCCGCUGUAUGUGAUAUGCUACCCGCUGUAUGUGAUGUGCUACCCACUGUAUGUGAUGUGAUAGCCACUGUAUGUGAUGUGCUACCCGCUGUAUGUGAUAUGCUACCCACUGUAUGUGAUGUGCUACCCACUGUAUGUGAUCUGCUACCCACUGUAUGUGAUCUACUACCCACUGUAUGUGAUCUACUACCCACUGUAUGUGAUGUGCUACCCGCUUUAUGUGAUCUGCUACCCACUGUAUGUGAUGUGCUACCCGCUGUAUGUGAUGUGCUACCCACUGUAUGUGAUCUGCUACCUACUGUAUGUGAUGUGCUACCCGCUGUAUGUGAUGUGCUAUCCGCUGUAUGUGAUCUGCUACCCGCUGUAUGUGAUGUGCUACCCACUGUAUGUGAUCUGCUACCCACUGUAUGUGAUGUGCUACCCGCUGUAUGUGAUCUGCUACCCGCUGUAUGUGAUCUGCUACCCGCUGUAUGUGAUGUGCUACCCACUGUAUGUGAUGUGCUACCCACUGUAUGUGAUGUGCUACCCGCUGUAUGUGAUCUGCUACCCACUGUAUGUGAUGUGCUACCCAGUGAUGUGCUACCCACUGUAUUUGAUGUGCUACCCACUAGAUAUGAUGUUCUACCCACUAGAUGUGAUGUUCUACCCACUAGUUGUUAUGUUCUACCCACUAAUUGUUAUGUACUACCCACUAGUUGUGACGUGCUACCCAGUAUGUUAUGUGUGCUAUUAAAAAUUAAUCACCCCACAAAAACGCAUACUUGCACUUAUUCCCUAUUUUUACGAACAUAUCCUGGUAUAGUAAUCGCAUUUUAAUAUUUAUGCCUGUCUUGGAAAGCUCAAACUGAUACGCUACCUUACUCCCUUCCUUUUCACAGACACACCUGUUGAUAUUCCGUCAUUGCUUUGUAGUUCAAAACAGUGCAGGUGUAUUCAAUUCUUAAUGUAGAGCUUGAAGUAAAACUGAACAACUUUUUUUUCAAACAAAACUCAAUAAUAAAAACUAUCUAGGUGUGGGUCAAGUUUUAGUUGCAGAUGUAUAGACAACUUACAGGCAGCAAAUAUCGAGGUGUGGGUCAGGUGUUCAAAACUAAAGCAAACAAACCAAAUUUCAUGAGACAGAAGGCUUGAGGUUCAAAUUAAUCAAUCAAUCAAACUGUUCACACAUUGAUCUGUAUUCCUACCAAUUAGUGGACUCCAUGAAUAAAGAGAAAUGAAUAGCAGAUUUUAUAAUUGGCUGCACUUUUUAAAAUACUGCACUAUAGACACCCCACAAAAAAGCAUUUUAACGCACUCCCCCCCCCCCCUACUAAAAUUAUUCUGACUGCGCUUAUGGUUUCCAAUAUAUAGAUAUUAAAUGAAAAAAAAAGGCUAUUGAAACUGCUAAUCAUUCCUAGAUCUAUAGCUGUCUAUUAAAUGGUUCAAUUAUAAUUAGUUUCUUUGUUAGUUCUACGUCUACCUUUUAAGGCUGAUUUAAGUCCCUUUGAACACUCACUGCUUUAUGUAACAUGGUUUUGUUCCUAUGUUAUUUUUUUUUUAUCUUUGUAAAUCUAGCAAGAAAAGUUAGAUAUGUGAUUAUUUAUCUAUUAAGAUAAACCAGAUAUGUCAUUGAUAAUCUAGACGGCUUGAGAAUAUUCUUGAUUGUUAGUCUAGCAAGAUAGAAUUAAUUCUCAAUGAGAUUCAAUGGUUUCACUUUCAUCUCUUGCAAGACUAAAAAAAAAUUCAAACUAAUUUAUUAAAAAGCUUAAUUUAAGAAAACUUUUCAUUCAAUCAAUUGUUUUUCAUUUGGAAUUAAAGAGGUGGACACAAUUAGGGCCGUCUCUUUGUAAAAUAAGCUCUUAUGUGGACUUGUGGAGAAUCGGGAGAUUCUCGUGCUGCGCUCAGCAAACACAGCUCAGCUCGACUCUGUAAUAGAACGAAAUUCUUAGUCUAGAUCGGGAUUCAAACUCCUUGGAUAUGUAGCCAAGCGAUGUGUGUCACUCUACAUCAGUGAUUCCCAAAGUGGUCUAUAUAGACCCCCAAGGGUCUAGGAAGACUUCCAACGGGUCUACGAAAGUGAAAAAAUAAAUUGGGGGUCUAUGAUAUGUCCAUGGGGGGUCUACGAUAAUGGAUUUCAUUUAAGCAGAUCAUGAUUUUAAUUUUCUCAUUCCAUUUAUGUAUUUAUUUCAUACACUAGGCUAUAGGGCCUAAUCGUCUAUAUAUGAUUUGCACCUUAGUUAUUCCUUUAAA